UGGCGGCGCGCUUAACACAUGCAAGUCGAGCGAGAAAGGGGCAACCUGAGUAAAGCGGCAGACGGGUGAGUAACACGUGGGUAUCCACUCUUUGGUGGGGAAUAACUCUGGGAAACCGGAGCUAAUACCGCAUAAGUCCGAGAGGAGAAAGGCGAAAGUCGCCGAAGAAGGAGCCCGCGGCUGAUUAGCUAGUUGGUGAGGUAACGGCUCACCAAGGCGAAGAUCGGUAGCCGGCCUGAGAGGGCACACGGCCACACUGGCACUGAGACACGGGCCAGACUCCUACGGGAGGCAGCAGUGGGGAAUCUUGCACAAUGGGGGAAACCCUGAUGCAGCGACGCCGCGUGAACGAUGAAGCCCUUCGGGGUGUAAAGUUCUUUUGGCAGGAACGAUAAUGACGGUACCUGAAGAAGAAGCUGCGGCUAACUACGUGCCAGCAGCCGCGGUAAUACGUAGGCAGCAAACGUUGUUCGGAGUUAUUGGGCGUAAAGAGUACGUAGGCGGUUUGCCAAGUUUGGUGUGAAAUCUCCUGGCUUAACUGGGAGGGUGCGCCGAAUACUGGCAGGCUUGAGUGUUGGAGAGGAAAGCGGAAUUCCUGGUGUAGCGGUGAAAUGCGUAGAUAUCAGGAGGAACACCGGUGGUGUAGACGGCUUUCUGGACAACAACUGACGCUGAGGUACGAAAGCGUGG
rnacentral:rRNA from 1 species